CCUAGAGUUGUAGGCUUUGCCUGCUAUCUCUUACCCAUGUCUUUUGAGUACCUUCGUUUCCUCGGCGGGUCCGCCCGCCGAUUGGACAAUUUAAACCAUUCGCAGUUGCAAUCAGCGUCUGAAAAAAACUUAAUAGUUA
rnacentral:misc_RNA from 1 species